rnacentral:rRNA from 1 species
AGAUAGCCAUGCAUGUCUAGUAUAGCAAUCUAUACUGUGAAACUGCGAAUGGCUCAUUAAAUCAGUUAUCGUUUAUUUGAUAGUACCUUACUACUUGGAUAACCGUGGUAAUUCUAGAGCUAAUACAUGCUAAAAACCCCGACUUCGGAAGGGGUGUAUUUAUUAGAUAAAAAACCAAUGCCCUUCGGGGCUCCUUGGUGAUUCAUGAUAACUUAACGAAUCGCAUGGCCUUGCGCCGGCGAUGGUUCAUUCAAAUUUCUGCCCUAUCAACUUUCGAUGGUAGGAUAGUGGCCUACCAUGGUAUCAACGGGUAACGGGGAAUUAGGGUUCUAUUCCGGAGAGGGAGCCUGAGAAACGGCUACCACAUCCAAGGAAGGCAGCAGGCGCGCAAAUUACCCAAUCCCGACACGGGGAGGUAGUGACAAUAAAUACUGAUACAGGGCUCUUUUGGGUCUUGUAAUUGGAAUGAGUACAAUUUAAAUACCUUAACGAGGAACAAUUGGAGGGCAAGUCUGGUGCCAGCAGCCGCGGUAAUUCCAGCUCCAAUAGCGUAUAUUAAAGUUGUUGCAGUUAAAAAGCUCGUAGUUGAACCUUGGGCCUGGCUGGCCGGUCCGCCUCACCGCGUGUACUGGUCCGGCCGGGCCUUUCCUUCUGGGGAUCCUCAUGCCCUUCACUGGGUGUGCUGGGGAACCAGGACUUUUACUUUGAAAAAAUUAGAGUGUUCAAAGCAGGCCUUUGCUCGAAUACAUUAGCAUGGAAUAAUAGAAUAGGACGUGCGGUCCUAUUUUGUUGGUUUCUAGGACCGCCGUAAUGAUUAAUAGGGAUAGUCGGGGGCAUCAGUAUUCAAUUGUCAGAGGUGAAAUUCUUGGAUUUAUUGAAGACUAACUACUGCGAAAGCAUUUGCCAAGGAUGUUUUCAUUAAUCAGUGAACGAAAGUUAGGGGAUCGAAGACGAUCAGAUACCGUCGUAGUCUUAACCGUAAACUAUGCCGACUAGGGAUCGGGCGAUGUUAUUCUUUUGACUCGCUCGGCACCUUACGAGAAAUCAAAGUCUUUGGGUCUGGGGGGAGUAUGGUCGCAGGUGAUAG